AAGGAUGUAGCUCAGUGGUAGAGUGCUUACCUAGCAUGUAAAAGGCCCUGGGUUCAGAACCCACCACCAUAA
rnacentral:tRNA from 1 species